rnacentral:lncRNA from 1 species
GACCGCCGCCGUCGCCUAGCGCCGCCGCUGCAGCCCAGGAUGGCCGCUGCUGCCUGGGACAGGGCUCCGCCGAGCCGAGUAGCAGCAGUUGGCCGCGCGCCGCCGCCGCCUGAGACCUGUCUCGCCGCCUUCCCCGGAGCCCAGGUGACCUCCCCCGUCGCCUGUCGCCGUCGCCGAGCGUUGCCGCUGCCGCCACUACUGCUUGCUGGAAACUGAAGGCAACUCGAGCCGAGCCGAGUUGCACGAGCUUCCCCCGCGACGCCUUCGCUCGCAGCCGCAGCCGCAGCCGCACCCGCACCCGAGGCACCCCUCCGGCCUCAGGCGAUCCUCCUCCGCCGUCUCGGAGCUCCCCGGCCGCCGCCGUGGCCGCAGGUGCCCUUGGAACCCGAGCCGAACCUGGUGCGGGCUUGGGUUGUUCCACCGCUGCCGCCGCCGCUUCCAGCCGCUAACUGAGGUGAGCAUCGUGUUCCUCACCUCCUCCGCACCCAUCCCUGGCCCCCGCGCGCGCCUCCAUGCCGCCGGAAGCCGGCCGGAGCAAGCUUGCUCCGGCCAAGCCCGAAAUAGGGCUUAGUUUGGAUGGUUUAUUAUUCUGAGCUUCCUGAGCCUCCCCAAUCUGUACGGAAGGGAGCACGAUGAUUGUAGCAAAUUGCUGAUCAUCGUGCUUACUUUAGAUUCUGCCGGAGAGACUCCGUUCCGCUGUUUUGGCGGUGUCGACCCUGUCGAGCCUGUUUGGCUGUUGUUUUGGGGAUUGCGCACGCUUAUCCGGCGAUCCGAGGCUGUCCUGAUGCCUCCGGAGGUGAGCACGGUGAUCGUUGGUCUGUGCCGAUCACAUUGCUCACCUCACUUUGGAUCAACAGUGUCCGGUCAGCCCUGUUUGGCGCGAUCUUCC